UGUGUGUCAGCCAAAACUUUGCGA
rnacentral:siRNA from 1 species